CUCUACUGUGACAGAAAUUAACUAAAUCAGGGCCUCCCAGUGGCAUGCCAUGGUACAUAAGAUGAGAGGAACUGAAACUUUCAACCCGGUGUAUACAAAAAUAAUCAUUUUCUAUGUUUAUGCUUGGAUGUGCAGAAGGUUGGGAAGCAUUAAAUUAAGUAAAGCUUGUCUAGAAAUAGAAAUAAUUUAAAGCUGUAGAGGGCUCAAACCAUUGUAGAUUUCGUAAAACCCUAUCUACAUCUACGAAAUAAACCUCCUGAUGAAGCAGUCCUGCUGAUAGCCACUGACUGUUGCACAGACCCACAGGAUGACCUGCAAGCUCCCAAACGGCUCUGUUUUAAAGUGAAAAUUUAUUUAAAUAAUAAAUAGAAAUAGCAAUAGGCUACCUACUCUAACAACAUUAACUUCCCAAUUACCUCCUAAACCAUAGGGCCUCUCAAAUCACUGUUGUGGAGACACUUUGCAAAACUGUAAAUGACAGCUGGAAAAGGUAGGCAUGUCUUUUCACUGUUUGAUCCCUAUCCCUGGCACACUGCCUGCCACAUAGGUGACAUUCAACAUUUCUUACAUGAUGUGUUUGACCUGGACACCGAAGCAAGAGUUUAGUAGAAAUUGGAAGAGACAUGAAGAAUGUAAAACGGAGCUCUCACUUGGUGAUGAGGAAGUGGAGGAAAGGUGUUGUGACCUUCCCAGGACCAGAGCAUAAUCUUGCUCUGGGAGAAGUAUAUUCUGGGGUAUGUUACCACCCCAGUUCCUCUCUUUGUGCUCUACCAAAAUACAAAGAAAUACAAAAUUUCUGAUUCUGGGUUCAUCAUUAGGUUGUAUCCAGCAUACCAGUAUUUGUAUUAUUUUAAUUCAAAAUAUACUUUAUUGUAAAGAAAAGAGGCAAGAAAAUAUUAAAGAACUUGUCAGAUAAAUUUUUGCCUUCUUUUCCCACACCUUAGUAACUUGCAAAUAUUCUUUGAGCCUCAGUUUUCUCAUCAAAAUGGAGAAAAAAUCGCCUUGGAGAACUGAUGGGAGCAUAGGUAUAGAUAGCUUUUAUCAUUAUUCCUUGUUCAUAAUUGGCACUCAACAUAUGGAAUGGAUUGACUGGAUGAGGCAACGAAUUACUGUAAUUUGUAUUGUGAAUAGAGAUUGUGACUGUCACUUUCUAGCAACCCCUUUAAGGGCAUGAGAUUUCCUUCCUUUACUUUAAUAUUGUCACUACAAUUUCUUUUCUUGAAAAUACUGUGGCUAUAUACUGGAAUAUUUGGCCAUGAAAAUAUACAAUUUGUUGUUGCUUCUAAAUUGUAUAAUGAUCUUUAAAUCAAUGACUGUAAGUCAAAUUAGAGUUGCAAGAUUUAGCAAAUAAAGAUACAAGAUGCCUAGUAAAAUCUGAAUUUCAGAUGAACAACAAAUAAUUUUUUGUACAGUAUGUACUAUGUAAGUUUGGAACAUGGUUACACUAAAAAUUAUUGUUUAUUAUAUGAGACAUGCUUAAAGAAAAUAUUUAUUGGUAAUCUGAAAUUCAAAUAUAAUGGGACCUGUAGGCAUAGUAGGGUCUCUGGUAUCCCUAAGCUGAAGAUAAAGGGGAGCCUCAUAGAUCACAAUUAGCACUUCUUCCUUCUAUAGUUGAGUAAAUGAAGGCCCAGGGAAAUUGGUUACUUGGCCAAAGAAAUCAAAGAAAUGAGUGGCUGAGACAGAAGCUGAACCAGGUGUCCUCACAGCCCAUCCAAAACUUUCUCCCUGCACACCAUUGCAAAGAUGCCCCUCCUGACUUGCCCAUUCAGAAAUUCUUAGGGAUUUGCAAUGUGAAAUUCCUUUGUUAUUUUGGUUGUUCUUAAAAAAAAAAAAAAAGUCAACCAAACAGUAACAAGAAACCUCUUAUUCAUCCAGGCUCCAACAUGGCCUUCAUUGCCUUUAAAAGCUGGACUGACGCUUCCUGAUUCUUUCUCCAUAAAUACAAUACCUGGCAAGAACAAGGAAGGACAACAUGCUAUUACAGCCCCCAUCCUCCAGUCCACCUUCAUCUGCUUCCCUGUAACAAUUUGUUUUUAUCUUUUUGACUUGUCUGAGAGCAGCAGAAUAAUAAGUAUGAUGUAAAUGUGGCUUUGUGGGUGGUGUCUGCUGGGCACUGGAAUUGUUUACCUUGUCAUAAAUAGCUGUCUUCAGGGACCCGCCCAGACAGUCUGCUUUACUAACCUCACAAACAUAGACAAAUCUCACACCCCUUGCCUGAGGAUAGCCCACUAGAAACAGAAGGGAUUAAGUCCCUAGUUACAAUGCACGAAUUUUAACAAUAACAUCCUGAUCCGAAUAAACACUGAGAGGAAAGUAAAUAGAGUAGUGCAAUGAAUAAUAUGAGCUUUGAGAUAAAAUCGGCCUUGGUUUGAAUCUCAGAUCUGUCACUUACAGUUAUGUGACCUCUGUGAAUUCCACCUCUUAAGUGGAGAAAAAUCCCACCUACUUUCUUCAAAACUCAUAGGCACUGUGAGGGGCAAAAACGAAUUAUUUAAGGAUUUUUUUUUUCCCCUAAAAACAUACCUUGGUCAUCUUUAGCCCAGGAGGGAGUUUUGCUUUUUAAAUUUUGAGUUUAGGUGGAGAUAAAAAGAGCUUUGUUGUGAAAAUUGUACACUCAAUUUGGAAUUGUACACUUUUAAAGCGUGCAGUUUAUUAAAUGGAUUAUGAAUGUAUCUUAAUAAACUUAAGAAACAAAUGAAUAGAUUGGAGAGCAGAGUAAGUUGGCUUGGCCAGUGUCACGUGGCUAGCUAGUAAGUGGAAAUAGUUUGGGAAAGGGCAAAGCUGAACUUUGUGAAGGAGCAGGAAGCUCAAGAAAACUGAAGAAAGCUGGAAAAAGUAACUGGGGGUUCAGGUAGGCCGGCAUGAGAUUUACUGUGACCACAGCGGACUAUGAAGCAAGCAGCCUCUGCAGUCCAUGGAACCUGACUUUCAGUCCAUGGGAGCAUGCCAAUCUAAGCUGGCAUGGGUCUCAGCAGAAGCCCCGUCCACCCAAAAUCUACUUGAAAAUGCUCCUGAAGCCAGAGUUAUUCUUUUAGCAACAGAUUGUAAUUAGAUAACUCUUCAGAAAAGGUAAAAAAAAAAAAAAUUCUAUGAGGUCAAAGGGUGCCCAAGGGAUAUUUAAAUAACCACAUUCUGUCUGGUCAACCCACUGGAGCAUGACUGAUUGAGAAUUAACCCCUAACCAACAUCAGCACUAAGCUCCUCCAAAAAUCUUGUUACUGAGUAAUUCACUGCUACUUAGUAAAUUCUAGAAAAUAAUGUGUUUUAGAUAGAGAAUAUCUUAGCAGGUAAAGUCAAAGCUAAAACAGCCCAGAGGUCAAAGGAGGAAUUAAACAGAUGUGCAAAUUAAUCUCUGAACUGCAAACACUCAUGACCUGGAGCAUGUAUAAAGCAAAAGAGCCGAGAAAUCACAUCUUUUCCACUACCUGGAUGAGGUUUCCAUCACAGCUCACAGCUCUUCCAGCCUUGUGAAUCAAAGAUUUUCACGAAGUAUUGCCUUCAAACUUCACCUCCUCGCUCAAUAAGCGGCAGCACAACCAAGUGUGCCCACUUGUAGCCAUUGUCAGGGAGAUAAGCAUUAGAUGUGGUAAAAGAAAUCUAAGAGAACAACUCAAUUCUUUUUGAGUGGUAACUUCACUUUUAUUUAUAUUCAAUUAGUGAACAAAACAAACUCAAGAAACUACAGUCUCCCUGUCGAAAACUCAAAGUUCAGGCCUUAAGAACUGGAUUAUGUAUUUACUUUAUGCUACAUUUAACCGUCUAUUUACAGUGAAAGUCAUUUUUUUUUUAACUUAAGCAUGGCUAACAUGAACAAAAAAUACCAUUGUCCUAGACCAUUCUUAAUUAAAUUCAACAAAUACGCAUUGAGAACUAAGUAUAGCAAGUGGUGAGUAGGGCUGCAGAGAACACAAUAAAACAGAAAAACACCAUCCCUGCCCUCAAAGUAUUUACCACGGAGUCAUCUUUUGAUUAAUUUUAACCAAGAGUUCAUGCUACUAGACAAAACAAUUGUUUUGUGUACGUAUAAAUUCUGCAAAUUUAUUUCUGGUCUUGAGUCAUGUUUUUCUUUCUCAUAUCCAAAAACAAUCUGGAAAACUUCCUCACCUCCAAAAAUAAACUGGAAAACUUUGCCUAAUCUCUCUCUUCAAAUUAACUCCCCUUAAGUAUUAAUUAAACUUAGGUAAGAAGAAAUUAAGUUACCUAAGUAUCUUUUUUUGGAAUCACCUUAAUCAUAAGUGUCCAUAAAAUCGUGGGAUUUAAUGUACGUGUUAUAUUUUUCAAAAUGCACAUUAAAAGAAAUACUUGUCUAUUAACAUCAAUACUUGGUGUGUACUACCUAAACCACAUUGGGAUCAUGGCUUUAAUCCACUGUCAUAGUCAAAUCCUUUCCCUCUACCUUUCAAAACCCCACCCCAACUGAGGUAGUUCCUCAUAUCCCAGCACUUAGCUGAUGAUCCUUUCUUUCAAUUAACCAAGAAAAUUAAGUCACUCAGACAUGAGCUUCCUCAUUACUUCAACAUCCCAUCACUUUUUCUUCUUCUUUUUAAGAUUUUCUUCUGAGAUAUCCGUAUUAGUCUCCUUUGAUAAUAAUUUUACCUUUAUUCCAGAUUUCAUUUUCUGUCAACUCAAUUACUUCCUUUAAUAAUAUUUAGUUUAUCUUCAACUGAUCUCUCUUCUUUGGUCUCGUUGCCUUUGUUUACAUAUAUUUAGUUUAGAAAUAUUUAUUAUCUGCUAGGUGUCAGAGACUGUGCAAGGAUUCUAGGGAUGUAGAUAAGAAAGACAAAGAAAGUCACAAACCUCAAGGAGCUUACUGGUGUCUAAGGAGGCAGGCAGGCCUGCCCUGAAUCAACCCAUAGUGUGAUAGGUGCUAUGUUAAUGUGAACGCAAGAGUGUCCAGGGAGGAAACGCAAUUAGAGCUUGAAGCCAAAAGUGGGAAGGAUUCCCUCAGGGGAGGGAAUGACAUUUCAUUUUAUUGCUAUUAUCUUUCUCAGAUGAUUGCGGUGAUUUUUUUUUUUUAAUAAAAGGAAGUUGAAUUUAGGUGGAGAUAAAAUAGCUUUGGUGCGAAAACUGUACACUCCAUUUGGAAUUGUGCAUUUUAAAAGUGUGCAGUUUAUUAAAUGUAUUAUAAAUUGACCUUAAUAAGCUUGAAAAAACAAAUGGAUAGAUUGGAGAGCAGAGGAAGGUGGCUGGGCCAGUGUCACACGGCUAGCUAGUAACUGGAAAUAGUCUGGGAAACUGCAAAGUUGAGCUUUAUGAAAGAAAACGGAGCUCAAGGAAAUUAUCUGAGAAAGAUAAUUGUGUGUGUUUUUUUUUUUAAAUAAAUGCAAGGUUUGUGGCAAUCCUACCUCUAGCAAAUCUAUAGGCGCCAUUUUUUCCAGCAGUACGUGCUCACUUUGUGUCUCUGUGUCACAUUUUGGUGAUUCUCACAAUAUUUCAAACUUUGUCACUAUUAUUACAUCUGUUAUGGUGGCCUGUGACCUUAAAUGCUACUGCUGUAAUUGUUUUGGGGUGCCACAAAUUAUGCCCAUAUAAGAUGACAAACUUAAUUGGUAAAUUACGUUUCUAUUCUGACUGUUCCACCAACUGGCCAUUCCCCUAUCUCUCUCCUGCUCCUCGGUCCCUUCUGUUCUCUGAAACAAAACGCUAUCAAAAUUAGGUCAAUUAAUAAUCCUCUAGUGGCCUCUAAGAGUUCAAGUCAAAGGAAGCGUUGCACUUAUCUCACUUUAAAUCAAAGGCAGAAAUGAUUAAGCUUGGUGAGGAAGGCAUGUUGAAAGCCAAGGCAAUCCAAGACAGGUCUAAAGCUAGGCCUUUUGCAACAAACAGUUAGCUAAAUUAUGAAUGCAAAGUAAAAGUUCUUAACAGAAAUUAAAAGCGUUACUACAGUGAAUACAUGAAUGAUCAGAGAGCAAAACAAUUGCUGACAUGGAGUACGUUUUAACGAUCAGGAGAAAUGACCAAACCAGCCACAACAUUCCCUUAAGUCUAAGGCUAAUCCAGAGUAGCACUCUAACUCUUCAGUUUUAUGAAGGUUAAAAGAAGUAAGGAAGCUGCAGUAGAAAAGCUGGAAGCUAGCAGAAGUCAAGUUCACAAGACUGAAGGAAAGAAGCCUUCUCCAUAACAAAGAAGUGCAAGAUGAAGCAGCAAGUGCUGAUGGAGAAGCUGCAGCAAGUUAUCUAAAAGAUCUAAGCUCAGGUCAUUAAUGAAGCUGGCUACAUGAAACAACAGAUUUUCAAUGUAGAUGAAACACCCUUUCAUUGGAAGAAGAUACCAUCUAGGACUUUGAUAGUUAGAAUGGAGAAGUCAAUGCUAGCUUCAAAGGACAAGCUGACUCUCUUGCUAGGGGCUAAUGCAGCUGGUGACUUUAAGUUGAGGCCAAUGCUCAUUUAUCAUUCUAAAAAUUCUAGAGCCCUUAAGAAUAAUGCCUAAUCACCUCUUCUUCUGCU